rnacentral:tRNA from 1 species
GGCUGGAUGGCUCAGUCAGUUAAGUGUCUGACUUCAGCUCAGGUCAUGAUCUCACAGUUCGUGAGUUCGAGUCUCACCUCAGGCU